rnacentral:rRNA from 1 species
UACAGAGACUGCAAGCGUUAUUCGGAUUCACUGGGCGUAAAGAGCGCGCAGGCGGUCGUCCAAGUCGCGUGUGAAAGCCCCCGGCUCAACUGGGGAGGGUCACGCGAUACUGAUCGACUCGAAGGCAGGAGAGGGAAGCGGAAUUCCCGGUGUAGUGGUGAAAUGCGUAGAUAUCGGGAGGAACACCAGUGGCGAAGGCGGCUUCCUGGCCUGUUCUUGACGCUGAGGCGCGAAAGCUAGGGUAGCAAACGGG